CACUGUGCUGAUGGUUCUAUCAUGUGUGAAGAAGAGGAAAUCAUGGUCUGCUCUUGCCCUGUCCAUGCUGACUCAAAAUCCUGAGUGCUCCCUGUAAGUUGCCUACAGAGUGCUCUUACAAGUUUCGUAUCCAAUCUGACUCCAAGCUUUUGGAGAGGCAAUAGCCAUAUAAAGCCUCUGGAGUUGACCCCACACCAACACAAACAACGAUACAGCAAGGACCACCAACCUGGAGAGCUUUAAAAGUGACAAGGCAUAUUCCUGGAAGGUGUUUAGGACUUGUCCUUCAUACAUAGGAUGGGCAUACCAAAGUGAGAGGAGUAUUUCUCUCAUCUAGACCAAGCUUUAGUGGCAUCUCUUCUGGAACACCAGCAUGUCCUUGGUCCAGAUCUUUCUUCUGUCACACCUCUUCCCCAGUAUGAAGAGCAUUGGCUUACAAAUAAACUUGCCCAUGUAGACAACAGAAGAUUGAACUUUGAAGUUUCUAGUUGGUUCCUGAUCUUAGAAGACUUCGAAGACAUCAAGAAACUAUCUAGAUCCUUAAUUAUAGGCUAUUGGCCUUCAGAACAAGAUCUUCCUCUCCCCUCUCCCCCGCAGUCUUUUCCAAUGCACAGACCUCCAUGCAGAUUAGACUACAAAUUCCAUUGACUGUCUUGGCUACAGAUGACCAGAGGUGCAGACUAAUACAUCUGGAAGAAAACAUAACACUGAAUGCUUUAGUGCUGCUACAUUGCAAAUACAUUCACAUGAAAAUAUAAAAGUGCCUUAAUGUGUUUUCCUCAGGAGGGUAAACUCAUAACUUUGUACCCAAACUCCAAAGCCCAUUCAAAAAAAAAAUCCUUGGCAUGUUCUAUUGUGUAAACUGUUGUGAUAUAUGCUGUGUCUGAUUAUCUACAAAUGUUUCCUGUGAAUGUUUAUUCUGAUCCUGAAUUUGGAUUUUUGUAUAGCCU